rnacentral:rRNA from 1 species
UACGUAGGGAGCAAGCGUUGUCCGGAAUCAUUGGGCGUAAAGCGCGCGUAGGCGGCCCUGUAAGUCCGUUGUGAAAGUCAAAGGCUCAACCUUUGAAAGCCGAUGGAUACUGCAGGGCUAGAGUCCGGAAGAGGCGAGUGGAAUUCCUGGUGUAGCGGUGGAAUGCGCAGAUAUCAGGAGGAACACCAAUAGCGAAGGCAGCUCACUGGGACGGUACUGACGCUAAGGCGCGAAAGCGUGGGGAGCGAACAGG